rnacentral:rRNA from 1 species
AACUUAAAUGAAUUGACGGGACCCGCACAAGCGGUGAGGAUGUGGUUUAAUUCGACGCAACGCGAAGAACCUUACCAGGGCUUGACAUCCCCUGACCGCGUAUGAAAGUACGUUUUCACCUCGGGUGACAGGGAGACAGGUGGUGCAUGGUUGUCGUCAGCUCGUGUCGUGAGAUGUUGGGUUAAGUCCCGCAACGAGCGCAACCCCUACGUUUAGUUGCUAACGCGUGAAGGCGAGCACUCUAGACGAACUGCCGUUGACAAAACGGAGGAAGGUGGGAUGACGUCAAAUCAUCAUGCCCCUUAUGUUCUGGGCUACACACGUGCUACAAUGGCCGGUACAGACGGACGCAAAGCCGCGAGGUGGAGCAAAUCCUAAAAAGCCGGUCUCAGUUCGGAUUGCAGGCUGCAAUUCGCCUGCAUGAAGUCGGAAUCGCUAGUAAUCGCAGGUCAGCAUACUGCGGUGAAUACGUUCCCGGGCCUU